rfam:Sharpea azabuensis strain DSM 20406 genome assembly, contig: Ga0059086_1071
UCUGGUGGAGAAGGCGCGGCGGGCACACCUGUACCCAUCCCGAACACAGAAGUUAAGCGCCGCAGCGGCGACGAUAGUGCGCAAGUGCGACAAUAGCGCUCCGCCAGGU